GAGGAACUUAUAUUUCCUUGACGAUUAAGAAAUCAGAAGAACUUAUAUUUCCUUGAUGAUUAAUCUAGCAAAAGGAGGAUGGCUAGAGUCGUCAUUUUAAUGCUUUUCCUACAACACUAAAUUAGUAAAUUUGGAAAGAUUAAUGUCGUGACAAAGUUUUUUUCACAUCAAGUACGAAUCUUGUUGCAGGGGUUUUUUCAAUGUUGGAGUUUAUUCCAAAAACGUACUCUAGAGGGGCAACCCACCUUCGAGCGAGGUUUUCAAGUGGUCUAAUUUUCUCAUCGCACCUUCUAAAGAAAUUUUAAGAUUGGGAAAAAGGUCUAUAUCGCAACAAUUACCCCUCUUUUCAUUCGUAUAAUCAAGGUGUUGCCAUCAUAGGAAAUCAUGGCUGCUCAAGGAUGGCGAUGCAAGAAUUUGCUUCACUGGUGAUGAACUUCUCCAAUCAAGAGCUAUGGAGCCGCAAAUCGUGAGCAAAAUACGACAUCAUAAGUGGUUAGUGUUCAUCCCCCACCAUAGUCAAUGUAGCUUUACUCUCUCUCUCUCUCUUUCUCUCUUUGGAAAUUGUUUUUCUUUGACAACAAACUCCAAUCUCUCUAGUGAUGAGUUCUAUUAUUACCAUAAUCAAUGUAGCUUUACUCUCUCUCUUUCUCUCUUUGAAAAUUGCUUUUCUCCGACAAACUCCAAUCUCUCUAACAAUGAGUUUUAUUAUGAGAGUCCUAUUAUUACCACAAGCUCCGUUAUCUUCAACAAUUUAAAUUUUUUUAAAUAAUAAAUUUUUCAUAAAAUUUUUCAAGAUAUAAAAUAAAAUUAAAAAUAAGAAUUUUACUUUAAAAUAUUCCAUUUCAUUGAAAGACUCAUUCCGUAUUAUUAUCCAAGCAUAAUAAUCUUUCUCAUUCUUUCCAUUCAUGCAUGUCAUUUUAGUACUAACGUCUUUACUAUCAUAUAAAAGUUUGAAAAUCCUUGUUUUCUCUUUGUGCAUUCUUUUGAUCUCAAUAAACCUUUCUAAAAAAAAAAACAAUAUCCUAAGCAUAUUAUGCCAUUUUACGAUCAUAUUAUACCUUUUUACUUAUUGAUCUUGUAGAAAUCCUGAGUAUUUUCAUGUAUCUUGAGUAAAUUAGGAAAGUGUAAAUAUAGAAGAUUGUAUAUUGUUGAGGGUGAUUCUGUUAGGAGAUUGUUUCCAUAGUUAGAACUUCCGAUUGUAUUAUAUAUUGUAAAUUGGGCUGUACAAAUUCAUUCAAAAAAAAUAGAAAUUAUAUUUUUUUUUCAUGGUAUCAAAGCUAGGGUUUCUAAACCUUAGCUAACAUUGGCCGUCGACACCGUCAACAGCAGAGGGUCGAGUUCCUCUGAAAAUCUCGAUGGUGACUUUGAAGCCACAUCCAUCAUGGGUUCGAAUGGGUUAGACAACUCAGCGUUUCCACUCUCGGUGGAGAAAUUGAAUGGAAAAAAUUUCUGUGAGUGGGUUCAAUCCAUCAAACUUGUGAGCAAAGGCAAAGGGAGGUUAGGUUAUCUUACUGGCGAGAGGAAGAAGCCCGCCUCAAUUCCAUGGUAACCGCGUGGCUCGUAAACUCAAUGAAGCCUUCAAUUGGAAAGAUCUAUCUGUUCUUACCAACGAUGAAGGACGUUUUGGACCCUGUUCGUGAGAUGUACUCCAAUGUCGAGAGUUACUCUCAGAUCUUCGAGAUGAAGACUCGAUUGUGGAAGAUGAGGCAAGGUGAGAGAGAUGUCACCAAGUACUUCAUGGAGAUGACACACCUCUGGCAAGAGCUCGACCUGAGCAUCGAGGAGGAGUGGGAGUGCUCCGGCGACAGCACCCGGUACAAGAAACGACUUGAGAACGAAAGGGUCUUUGAGUUCUUGGCUGGCCUCAACAGUGAACUGAAUGAUGUGCGAGGAAGGAUACUUGGCCGACAACCCCUUCCAUCGAUCCGAGAAGUAUUCGCAGAGAUGAGGCGUGAGGAGAGCAGAUGGAAAGUGAUGCUGAAGACACCUAUGAGCCAUAUUGGGCUUGAAAUAUCAGCCCUAAAAGCGAACCAAAUGGGCCUGAAGUUUCGACCCUAAUUUCAAAAGGCCCUACGGGAUAUGGGCAAAAGCCACAUAAAGGGAGAUUAUGGUGUGAGCACUAUCGCAAGCCAAGUCAUUCAAAAGAUACUUGCUUGGAAAUUCAUGGAAAGCCUGCAGAUUGGAAGCCGAGGCAAAAUAAGAAAAAAAAUCGUGGCUAUCAGGCAACUACUGAUAAUUCAACUGAGAAGUCACAAGGCAAGAAAAAUAACAAUACCACUCCUAGUGGCAUAUUCAGUCCAGAGCAGUUGGACCAGCUAUAUAAAAUGUUCUCCUCCAUUCAAACAUUGGGUCAGUCUUCCACUAGUUCUUUAGCCCACUGAGGUAAUUUUCUGUCAGCCCUAAAUACUACAUCCCAUUAUAAAUCACCAUGGAUAAUUGACUCGAGUGCCUCUGAUCAUAUGACUGAUUCUUAUCAUCCGUUCUCAUCUUAUUCAACGUGUGCUGGAAAUUUGAGAGUUGCAGAUAGAUCUCUCUCCUAUGUUGCAGGCAAAGGAAGUAUUCAAAUAUUCGAUUCUAUAACUUUAAAAUCUUUCCUACAUGUCCCUAAGUUGUCUUACAAUUUGUUAUCCGUUAGCCAAUUGACAAAAGAUUCCAAUUGCUCUACUAAAUAUGUUUCAUCUCACUAUGUUUUCCAGGACCUAUCAUCGGGGAAUACGAUUGGCAGUGUUAAGGCGUGUGAGGGACUCUACUACUUUGAGGAGGGAAAUACGAGUGAACAAUGUAAUGCUGCAAUUUGUGAUUCUGCAUCUAUUUCUAGAGAUAGUGAAAUUUUGUUAUGACAUUUUAGGAUGGGUCAUCCAAAUUUUCAAUAUUUAAGACGUUUAUUUCCUUCCAUUUGUUCUAAUAAAACGUCUUCUGAUUUUCAAUGUGAAAUUUUUGAGCUUGCAAAACACCAACGUAAUUCCUUCCCAAAGUCCACAUAUAAACCAUCCUGCCCAUUUACUAUGAUUCACAGUGAUAUAUAGGGGCCUUCACGCUAUCUUAAUUGCACUCAUACGAAAUGGUUUGUCACUUUUAUUAAUGAUCAUACUCGUAUUUGUUGGGCUUACUUGUUGAAAGAUAAAACUGAAGUCCAUUCUAUUUUCGUCAAUUUUCACUCAAUGAUUCAAACACAAUUCCACACUCACAUCCAAAUUUUACGUAUUGAUAGUGGUACAGAAUAUUUCAACACUAUCUUGGGACAUUAUCUUCAAGAAAAUGAAAUUGUACAUCAAAGUUCAUGUGUGGAUACCCUUCAACAAAAUGAGAUUGCUGAACGUAAAAACAGACAUAUACUUGAAGUAGCUCGGGCGUUGAUGUUCACUACAAACAUAAAGAACUAUUUUUGGGGUAAUGCCAUUUUAACAGCUAUACAUCUCAUUAAUCAAAUGUCAAGUCCAGUUCUUUCUUUUUCCACUCCUCUCCAGAAAUUCCAAGAAUAUUUCCCCAACUCUCGACUCCACUCCAACCUCUCUCUCUGAAAAUCUUUAGUUGUACUGCCUUUGUUCAUAUUCAUGCUCACAAUAGGGAUAAAUUGGAACCUUGUACCAUUAAAUGCGUCUUUAUUGGUUACUCUCCUACUCAGAAAGGUUACAAAUGUUAUGAUCCUGUCUCAAAAUGAAUGUUUGCUAGCGUUGAUGUCACGUUUUUUGAAACCACUCCUUAUUUCCAAAAGCCCUCUCUUUAGGGGGAGAAGUGAAGUGAAGAUUAGUUCUUUGAUUUCCAUACUACUAAAUCUAAGCCAUCUACUAAGUCUCCCAUUGCAUCAUUUCCUGACCUGUUACAUGCACAUGAUCACUUAAACUCUAGGGGAGAUGCUAAAAAAAAAUUAAUAAGGAAACACUUGUUUACUCAAGAAAGCCAAAAACAAAGAACAUGGAGAAUCUCACACCCGAGGUACCAAAAGAGUUAGAACCGGUAAUAGCUCUGAGCAACCAUGAGUCCACGCCUAGUCCCGGUCAGGUAAUAAAUGGCUAUGAGCUUUCGUCUGAUAAGUCUGCACCUGAUGACAUCAAUUUACCUAUUACAGUCAGAAAAUAAAUUAGGUCAUGUACUCUAUAUCCCUGGUCAAAAUACAUGUCUUAUAAAACCCUGUCUAUAGGGUAUCGUGCUUUUACCUCUAACCUUGAUAGGAUAAAAAUUCCAAAGAAUAUUCCAGAAGCCCUGGAAAUCCUUGAAUGGAGGGAAGCUGUCAUGGAAGAAAUGUGGGCUUUGAAAAAAAAAUGGAACUUGAGACGUUAUGAAUUUGCCGAGAGGAAAGAAGCCAAUAGGUUGCAAAUGAGUCUUCACAGUGAAAUAUAAAGCUGAUGGGACAGUUGAAAGAUAUAAAUCUAGACUUGUUGCAAAAGGGUUUACACAGACCAAUGACAUUGACUACACGGAGACAUUUGCACCAGUAGCGAAAUUGAACAUAGUUCGGGUCUUCUUGUCCUUGGCAGCUACUUAGAUUGGCCACUAGAGCAACUCGACAUUAAGAAUGUUUUUCUAAAUGACGAGUUAGAAGAAGAAGAAGUUUAUAUGACUAUACCACCAGGUUUUAGUACGAGAGGUGAAGAAGACAAAGUACGUAAACUCAAGAAGUCCUUGUACGGACUCAAGCAAUCUCCUAGAGCAUGGUUUGACAGAUUUGUGAAAGUGAUAAAGAAUCAGGGAUAUCGAUAAAGGCAAUUAGAUCACACUAUGUUCUUCCAAUAGUCUAAAAGUGGUAAGAAAAUAAUUCUGAUAGUGUAUGUUGAUGAUAUAAUCCUAACUGGAGAUGAUACAGUGGAGAUGGAAAGAUUAAAGAAAGUCCUAACUAUUGAGUUUGAAAUUAAAGACCUAGGACAAAUGUGAUACUUCUUGGGAAUGGAAGUUGUUAGAUCAAAGAAAGGUAUCAGUGUCUCUCAGCGAAAAUAUAUCCUUGAUCUCCCAAUCGAACCUAGCAUGCUUGGAUGCAAACCUAGUGAAACCUCGAUUGAAGCCAUAAAAAGGGUUAAAGACUGCGGAAUAACAAUUGAAAAGGAAAGGUAUCAGAAAUUGGUUGGUACUAAUUUAUCUAUCGCAUACGAGGCCUGACAUUGCAUUUGCAGUAAGUGUGGUACGUUAACACAUGCAUUCACCGAAAAAGACUCACUUAGAUGUUGUGUAUAAGAUCCUCAGGUACCUCAAGGGUUUUUUGGAUAAAGGACUCUUUUUCAAGAAAUGUGAAAGCAAGGAAGUAGAAAUCUUCACAGAUGCAGAUUGGGCAGAAUCAGCAGAAGAUAGAAGGUCUACCACCGGGUAUUGCACUUUUGUAUAGGAAAAUUUGAUAACUUGGAGGAGCAAAAAACAAAAUGUAGUGACUCGAAGCAUUGCUGGAGCUAAAUUCAUGGCAAUUACACAAGGGAUAUGUGAAGAACCGUGGUUACAAAAAUUCUUAGAAGAAUUACAAAUCCAGGACUAAACAUGUAGAGGUGGACCGACAUUUUAUCAAAGAGAAGGUUGAAGAAUGAACCAUCUGUAUGACUUAUGUACCUACCAAGGAACAAACUGUAGACAUCUUUACUAAAUGGUUAGUCCGACGGAGCUUCGAUGACUUUAUUGGCAAGUUAGAUAUGAUUAAUAUUUAUAAUCCAACUUGAGGGAGAGUGUAGAAAUACUGAGUAUCUUUAUGUAUCUUGAGUAAAUUAAGAAAGUGUGUAAAUAUAGAAGAUUGUACAUUGGUGAGGGUGAUGUUAGGAUAUUGUUUCCUUAGUUAGAACUUCCGAUUGUAUUAUAUAUUGUAAAUUGAAUUGUACAAAUUCAUUCAAAAAAUACAGAAAUUAUAUUCUGUUUUCA